GACGAACGCUGGCGGCGUGCCUAAUACAUGCAAGUAGAACGCUGAAGGAGGAGCUUGCUCUUCUGGAUGAGUUGCGAACGGGUGAGUAACGCGUAGGUAACCUGCCUGGUAGCGGGGGAUAACUAUUGGAAACGAUAGCUAAUACCGCAUAACAGUAGAUGUUGCAUGACAUUUACUUAAAAGGUGCAAUUGCAUCACUACCAGAUGGACCUGCGUUGUAUUAGCUAGUUGGUGGGGUAACGGCUCACCAAGGCGACGAUACAUAGCCGACCUGAGAGGGUGAUCGGCCACACUGGGACUGAGACACGGCCCAGACUCCUACGGGAGGCAGCAGUAGGGAAUCUUCGGCAAUGGACGGAAGUCUGACCGAGCAACGCCGCGUGAGUGAAGAAGGAUUUCGGAUCGUAAAGCUCUGUUGUAAGAGAAGAACGAGUGUGAGAGUGGAAAGUUCACACUGUGACGGUAUCUGACCAGAAAGGGACGGCUAACUACGUG
rnacentral:rRNA from 1 species